AGGGUCCCCACUGUAUAAGAAGGACAAGAACUGCGUAUUCAUCCUGGGAUGGUUGUGCAAAGUGAGAUAAGUAACCUGAGGAACAGAGAUGUCAAGAUACACCUUCAGCUGCAUAGCUGGUUCUAGAAGCACCAGGGAUGAGAACUAAGCAGCACUGACUUGCCAGCGCAAAGAAGAGAAGGAAAGAUCUUUGCCAGGGGAGGAAUCCAGAAGUAGAGGACCAAAGCAGGAAGUUGAGAGUUCAAAUCAAGACCGGAGAAUUGAUGAAUCACUUUGGUCCUUACCACCUCUCCAAACCAGUCCCCCUACAGAAAUCUCUCUGGAGACCCAGGUUUUCACCUCCACUCUAGCAAAGCCUGUGCUCUAAUUUCAGACACUCUAUUUCUCCAGAUUCAGAGGUGGAAGUCAUGGACCAGCCUUUUUGCCACUGUGUGAAGAAGGCUUGGGAAUCUGCAGAGGUGAUGCUAGAACCCCCACUGCCUUUGCCUCUGAGCUCAAAAGAUUUGGGGCCAUGGCCUCUCCCUUUCUACCCUAAGCUGGGGGAGCCCUGGUGGGACAGUAUAUAUUUCAACUGGGAACUACUUUCUAGUCUGUGUGGGCUACUGAGCCACACCUGCCCUCAACACAGCCACUCAUCUGGAACCCAGAACACUUUGGAGCCAGACUUGGACCUGUCUGCAUAGGAGCCAUCAUCCACGAGCCAAAAGGAGUCAGACAGCCCCCAGAGAACAUGGUACUACAGAACACUGGACAGCUACCUGCCAUAGCUGGCUCUUAGCCACAUCCAUCCAGCUCUGGACACACACCCCAGAGAUGGAGAUCUGUGGUGGUGGAGACCUCCAGAAUGAUGCUGUCCUCCCCUACCCCACCCUGGAUACAUGCUACUUUUGAACCAUGAGGCCUUAGGACCAUAUGGCCUUAGGAAAGCUGAAGGAUCAGCCUGGG